rnacentral:rRNA from 1 species
UACGUAGGGGGCAAGCGUUGUCCGGAUUUAUUGGGCGUAAAGGGCGCGUAGGCGGAUAGUUCAGUCGGGGGUGAAAGCCCGGGGCUCAACCUCGGAACUGCCUUCGAUACUGGCUAUCUUGAGUACGGGAGAGGUGUGUGGAACUCCGAGUGUAGAGGUGAAAUUCGUAGAUAUUCGGAAGAACACCAGUGGCGAAGGCGACACACUGGCCCGUUACUGACACUGAGGCGCGAAAGCGUGGGGAGCAAACAGG